rnacentral:rRNA from 1 species
AUUCACUAGUGAUUAGAGUUUGAUCCUGGCUCAGAGCGAACGCUGGCGGCAGGCUUAACACAUGCAAGUCGAGCGGGCGUAGCAAUACGUCAGCGGCAGACGGGUGAGUAACGCGUGGGAACGUACCUUUUGGUUCGGAACAACACAGGGAAACUUGUGCUAAUACCGGAUAAGCCCUUACGGGGAAAGAUUUAUCGCCGAAAGAUCGGCCCGCGUCUGAUUAGCUAGUUGGUGAGGUAACGGCUCACCAAGGCGACGAUCAGUAGCUGUCUGAGAGGAUGAUCAGCCACAUUGGGACUGAGACACGGCCCAAACUCCUACGGGAGGCAGCAGUGGGGAAUAUUGGACAAUGGGGGCAACCCUGAUCCAGCCAUGCCGCGUGAGUGAUGAAGGCCCUAGGGUUGUAAAGCUCUUUUGUGCGGGAAGAUAAUGACGGUACCGCAAGAAUAAGCCCCGGCUAACUUCGUGCCAGCAGCCGCGGUAAUACGAAGGGGGCUAGCGUUGCUCGGAAUCACUGGGCGUAAAGGGUGCGUAGGCGGGUCUUUAAGUCAGGGGUGAAAUCCUGGAGCUCAACUCCAGAACUGCCUUUGAUACUGAAGAUCUUGAGUCCGGGAGAGGUGAGUGGAACUGCGAGUGUAGAGGUGAAAUUCGUAGAUAUUCGCAAGAACACCAGUGGCGAAGGCGGCUCACUGGCCCGGUACUGACGCUGAGGCACGAAAGCGUGGGGAGCAAACAGGAUUAGAUACCCCGGUAGUCCACGCCGUAAACGAUGAAUGCCAGCCGUUAGUGGGUUUACUCACUAGUGGCGCAGCUAACGCUUUAAGCAUUCCGCCUGGGGAGUACGGUCGCAAGAUUAAAACUCAAA